rnacentral:misc_RNA from 1 species
GAUGAAGAACGUAGUGAAAUGCGAUAAGUAAUGUGAAUUGCAGAAUUCAGUGAAUCAUCGAAUCUUUGAACGCACCUUGCGCCCUUUGGCCAUUCCGAAGGGCAUGCCUGUUUGAGUAUCAUGAACACCUCAACUCUUUAUGGUUUUCCAUGAUGAGCUUGGACUCUGGGGGUUUUGCUGGCUCACAGUCGGCUCCUCUGAAAUGAAUCAGCUUACCAGUGUUUGGUGGGUAUCAUAGGUGUGAUAACUAUCUACGCUUGUGGUUUUUCCACCAGGUAACCUUCAGCAGUGGAGGUUCGCUGGAGCUCAUAGAUGUCUCUCCUCAGUGAGGACAGCCCUUUGAAUGUUUGAUCUCAAAUCAGGUAGGACUACCCGCUGAACUUAAGCAUAUCAAUAAGCGGAGGA